rnacentral:lncRNA from 1 species
CAAAGUGCCAAUAGUAGACCUAUCACUAUGUAGGAAAGGAUCAUAGACAUGUUUACCCAAUUCAGUGUCUAAAUGGGAAACAUAACUACGCAAAUAGAUCAUCUAGAAUAGGGAGGCCAUCGCAGCGUGCCUGAUGCCACAUAGUGUAGGAUGGAACAAGGUCUUGUGCCAAUGAUGCUAGUGAUCAAUAAGGAGGCCGCCGAGAAGAGGUGGAUGGGGAUCUCUAUGAUUUUAAAUUGGAGGUACCAGCUUUUUAAGGGAAAAAACCCCAAGGUUUACCUUGAAUGGGAACGAGAGGUCGAUUGCAUCUUAAAUUGCCAAUAUAUUGAA